rnacentral:rRNA from 1 species
AGCUUGCUCUUAUGAAGUUAGCGGCGGACGGGUGAGUAACACGUGGGUAACCUGCCCAUAAGACUGGGAUAACUCCGGGAAACCGGGGCUAAUACCGGAUAACAUUUUGAACCGCAUGGUUCGAAAUUGAAAGGCGGCUUCGGCUGUCACUUAUGGAUGGACCCGCGUCGCAUUAGCUAGUUGGUGAGGUAACGGCUCACCAAGGCAACGAUGCGUAGCCGACCUGAGAGGGUGAUCGGCCACACUGGGACUGAGACACGGCCCAGACUCCUACGGGAGGCAGCAGUAGGGAAUCUUCCGCAAUGGACGAAAGUCUGACGGAGCAACGCCGCGUGAGUGAUGAAGGCUUUCGGGUCGUAAAACUCUGUUGUUAGGGAAGAACAAGUGCUAGUUGAAUAAGCUGGCACCUUGACGGUACCUAACCAGAAAGCCACGGCUAACUACGUGCCAGCAGCCGCGGUAAUACGUAGGUGGCAAGCGUUAUCCGGAAUUAUUG